GGAAAGAACACAGGGAUUGCCUCAGUUAACGGCGAGUGAAGCGGCAACAGCUCAAAUUUGAAAUCUGCCGCAAGGCCGAGUUGUAAUUUGUAGAGGAUGCUUCUGGGCAGCGGCCGGUCUAAGUUCCUUGGAACAGGACGUCAUAGAGGGUGAGAAUCCCGUAUGCGACCGGUUGGCACCCGUCACGUAGCUCCUUCGACGAGUCGAGUUGUUUGGGAAUGCAGCUCUAAAUGGGUGGUAAAUUCCAUCUAAAGCUAAAUACCGGCCAGAGACCGAUAGCGCACAAGUAGAGUGAUCGAAAGAUGAAAAGCACUUUGGAAAGAGAGUUAAAAAGCACGUGAAAUUGUUGAAAGGGAAGCGCAUGCAACCAGACUUGUCGGCGGUGUUCCGCCGGUCUUCUGACCGGUCUACUCGCCGCCGACAGGCCAGCAUCGUGUGGGUGCGCCGGAUAAAGGCGUCGGGAAUGUGGCCCCUCGGGGUGUUAUAGCCCGGCGCAUAAUACGGUGCCGCCCGCGCGAGGUCCGCGCUUCGGCUAGGAUGCUGGCGUAAUGGUCGUAUGCGGCCCGUCUUGAAACACGGACCAAGGAGUCUAACAUCUGUGCGAGUGUUCGGGUGUCAAACCCCUACGCGGAAUGAAAGUGAACGGAGGUGGGAGCUUCGGCGCACCAUCGACCGAUCCUGAUGUCCUCGGAUGGAUUUGAGUAAGAGCAUAGCUGUUGGGACCCGAAAGAUGGUGAACUAUGCCUGAAUAGGGUGAAGCCAGAGGAAACUCUGGUGGAGGCUCGCAGCGGUUCUGACGUGCAAAUCGAUCGUCAAAUUUGGGUAUAGGGGCGAAAGACUAAUCGAACCAUCUAGUAGCUGGUUCCUGCCGAA
rnacentral:rRNA from 1 species